CAGGUAGUGACAGAAGAAAAUGCCACAUAAAAAGUUAACAAUGUGCAUUUUUGUGUUACAAUUAUGAUUGCUUAUUUUUCUUCUUAAUUUCUUAAUUUAUUUCAGAUUGUGUGUUAGUUUUUUAAAUGACAUUUUAUUAUUUAAUUCUAGAAAUUAGAGAUUGUAAAUAAUUUUUUUAGAUUUUAUUGUUUCAAAAAAGUAGACAAGGAGUCAUACAUUUUCUGGGAAAAUAACAAUUUAGAAAAAUGUUGACAAUCUAUCUAAUCCUAGGGGAAUCUUUGCAAGUGAUUGUUGUUUUGAGAGUGGCUCUUUACUGAUAUUCACCUAAAAUAAAAUACUUUGAAACAGUAUCUCCAUCCAAGAAAAAAGCUUACAAAAAUAAACAGUUGAGUUAUCUUGGAAACAAGAAACACUUUUAAAAAGAUAAUUACAUUUUAUAAUAAAUUACUUUAAUAAUCCAAAUGGAAUCAUCCUCCUUAAAAAUGUUUUGUUAGUAGUAAUUAUUAAAAUCAUAAAUCAUUUUGUAAAAUUUGUACUUUUGGUACAAAAUGAGAAAGUAUUUAAAAAUUUAUUUCAAAAAAUUUAGCAAUAGUUUGUUAAAUUCAGAUAGUAUAUUUUUUCAUGCGCGUCCGUGUGAAGAGACCACCAAACAGGCUUUGUGUGAGCAAUAAAGCUGUUUAUUUCACCUGGGUGCAGGUGGGCUGAGUCUGAAAAGAGAGUCAGCAAAGGGUGGUGGAUCAUCAUUAGUUCUUAUAGGUUUUAGGAUAGGUGGUGAAGUUAAGAGCAAUGUUUUGCAGGCAGGGGUGGAUCUCACAAAGUACAUUCUCAAGGGUGGGGAGAAUUACAAAGUACCUUCUUAAGGGUGGGGGAGAUUACAAAGUACAUUGAUCAGUUAGGGUGGGGCAGGAACAAAUCACAGUGGUGGAAUGUCAUCAGUUAAGGCUAUUUUUACUUCUUUUGUGGAUCUUCAGUUACUUCAGACCAUCUGGAUGUAUACAUGCAAGUCACAGGAGAUGCGAUGGCUUGGCUUGGGCUCAGAGGCCUGACAUUCCUGCCUUCUUAUAUUAAUAAGAAAAAUAAAACAAAAUAGUGUUGAAGUGUUGGGGCGGCGAAAAUUUUGGGGGGUGGUAUGGAGAGAGAAUGGGCGAUGUUUCUCAGGGCUGCUUCAAGCGGGAUUAGGGGCGGUGUGGGAACCUAGAGUGGGAGAGAUUAAGCUGAAGGGAGAUCUUGUGGUAAGUGGUGAUAUUGUGGGGACGUUAGAAGAAACAUUUGUCAUAUAGAAUGAUCGGUGAUGGCCUGGAUAUGGUUUUGGAUGAAUUGAGAAACUAAAUGGAAGAUACAAGGUCUGAAAAAAAGAAGGAGAAAAAUGGGUAUUAAAGGACUAAGAAUUGGAAGGACCCAGGACAUCCAAUUAGAGAGUGGCCAAGGGGGUUCAGCAUAAUUACUUGCUUGGUUGGCAAGAUUUUGGGCUUUAUCCUUGAGUUUUUUUAUGUUGUCAUACACCAGGCCAGAUUGAUUUAGGUAAAAAUAAGACUCUUCAUUUAAGAAUAUACAGAGUCCUCCUUUUUCAGCAGUGAGUAAGUCAAGGCCUUGGCGGUUUUGGAGGACAACUGCAGCUGAAGAGUCAACUUGGGCCUGGAGGCCUGAUAAAGUUUGUGAUAUGUCUGUAAUGCUAGCAGAGAAGUCAUUAGACAGGAUACGGAAGGUCGUGACAGAGGUUGAAAUGCCUGCUAUUCCAGUACCGAGAGCAACAGUGGAGGCAGAAAGUCCUAAACCAACCAUCAAGGGAAUUAGUGGAAUAACUCUUUUUUGUCGUGUCGGUGUCAUGAGGGGAACAGGGAGCUCUUCAGUCCCAUUUGCAAAUUGAAUUUUGGAGGUAAGGAAAACUAGUGUGCAUGUGCCUGUCCAAUUAGCAGGUAGACACAUGUAGGUAGAGGAUCCACAGAGGAAGAAGAGACUUUGUACUAGGCAAAACUGGAGAUGUAAAGUAAAAAGGUGAGAAGGAGUGCUGAAAGGGGUGUCUUGUACCCAGACUCUUAGGGAUCCACCUAGGGGGGCAGCAGUCAGAGGUUGUAAUGGGGACUGAUGGGGUAACUGCGUAGAGGGGGAGGUUCGAUUUUCAUGGUAUAUGAGAAAACGUUGAGCAUCUACGAGCAAACUUUCACUGUUAUUUUUGGGGCUGGGUAUAAGUAAACAAGAAGAGGGUCUGGGAGGAGAGUCUGAUGAGCAAGGGGAAAAUAGCCAAGGAUGGAGUGAAAUACAGGACAAGUGUCUUCCUAAGCAAUAAUUACUGCUAACGUUUUUAAGUUUGUCAGUAUUGAUAGAGGGCUUGUCUGUAAUAUGGAGCUGGAAGGCUCCAUUUGUUUCAGUGAUGUGUGUAGUUGGGCUUCGGAGAUGAAGAGUAAAGGAACAUCGAGAAGGUGAAAGAUUACCUAGGGGAAUUCCAGUGGGUCUUUGCCGAGAGAUACAUAAAGGAGCGGCCACAGGAAUAGUAGUUUGUGUUGUGAGCGGUCCAAAUGUGGGGGGAGUAGAGUUAAUAUAAGGAGAAAGGUUUUUUAAAUAAGUGCAGAGGAGGGCGGCAGCUUGCUGAUGUGAAAUGUCUGGGGAAGUCUUGCUGGACCUGUCUAGAAAGUAAAUGAGUUUUUCAGGAGGGUAAAGGUGAGGGCUGUUAAAGGAAGUUCGGAGGUGUGGGGAGACAGGAGAUGUUGCCCAGUCUGUCUGUAAGGCAGGGACAGCUGGGUAGGCACUGGAAGGAAGGGAAAUGCAAAGCCAGCAGUUUUUCACUAAGGAGGGAUUAGAAACGGCUAGGAGAGAAUGGGUAAGGUUGAUAGUGUGGUGGAGAUAGCUGGGGAGAGGUAAAGGGUGGCAUAAGAUUGGGAAUGAGAAUAAGAGUGAGUAUAAAAGUAAAGAAUAGAACUUCAUCAGGGUGGAAGUAUUGGAGGAUGCCCUGCCAGCAAAGAUCAUCUAUCCACUCUAAGAGGGAGUUAAGAGUGGCAGUUUCGGGAUAGCACCAAGAGAUAUCAGCUGUGAUGGCUUGAAGAAACAGUGUAAACUGGUGGUGUAAACAAGAGUAGGGCAUUUAUAAGUAGUUGAUAAUGGAGAAUAGGAGUAUGACCAGACAGAAGAUAGUAGGGAUGACUCGUUUUUGGGGGCACAGUCUAAGUUAGUCUGCUCUCUGGAAUGAGACUGGGGCCUAAUAAAAAGGAGCAUCUAUACAGGAGCUCAAAUGGGCUGUACCCUGUAGCAUUCUGAGGACAGGUCUGACUUCUGAGAAAGGAAAGUGGUAAAAGUAUUGUCUAGUCCUUUUUAAGUUGGUGGCUGAGCUUGGUGAGGUGUGUUUUUAAAAGACCGUUAGUCUGUUCUACUUUUCCUGAAGACUGAGGACUGUAAGGGAUAUAAAGGUUUCACUAAAUAUUAAGAGCCUGAAAAACUGCUUGGCUGAUUUGACUAAUAAAGGCUGGUCAGUUAUCAGACUGUAUAGAGGUGGGAAGGCUAAACUGAGGGAUUAUGUCUGACAGAAGGGAAGAAAUGACUGUGGUGGCCUUCUCAGACCCUGUAGGAAAGGCCUCUACCUAUCCAGUGAAAGUGUCUACCUAGACUAAGAGGUAUUUUAGUUAUCUGACUCGGGGCAUGUUGAGUAAAGCUAAUUUGCCAGUCCUGGGUGGGGGCAAAUUCUUGAGCUUGAUGUGUAGGGAAGGGAGGGGGGCCUGAAUAAUCCUUGAGGAGUAGUAGAAUAGCAGAUGGAACACUGAGAAGUUAUUUCCUUGAGGAUAGAUUUCCACGAUGGAAAGGAAAUGAGAGGUUUUAAGAGGCGGGCUAGUGAUCUGUACUAUAGCAUAGCCUGCCUUUGCUGGUGUGUGGUGAUUAGGCCUGGUGGAACCGCCAUUAAUAAAUCAAGCAUGAUCAGGGUGAGGAACAGGAAAGAAGGAAAUAUGGGGAAAUGAGGUGAAUGUCAGGUGGAUCAGAGAGAUACAGUCAUGAGGGUCAGGUGUGGUUUCCAGAAUAAUGUGGGAGACCGGAUUGAAGUCCCGGUCAGGAACAAUGGUAAUUGUGGGACUUAACAAAGAGUGAGUACAGCUGAAGGAGCCGGGGAGCAGAAAGUAUAUGCAUCAGGUAUGAGGAAGAAAAUAGAUUUUGGAAGUUAUGAGAAAUGUAGAGAGUAAGUUGAGCAUAGUUUGUGAUUUUGAGGGCCUCUAAAAGUAUUAGGGUGGCAGCAGCCGCUGCAGGGAGACAUGAUGGCUAGGCUAAAACAGUAAGGUCAAGUUGUUUGGACAGAAAGGCUAUAGGGUGUGGUCCUGGCUCUUUUGUAAGAAUUCUGACUGCACUAUGCCUAGGAAGGGAAGGAGUUGUUGUUUUGUAAGGGAUUGAGGUUUGGGAGAUUAAUCGGACACAAUCAGCAGGGAAAGCACAUGUGUUUUUAUGAGAAUUGUGCCGAGAUAGGUAACAGAUGAGGAUGAAAUUUGAGCUUGACUGAAGUAAUGGGGGCUGUCUAUGAAGACUUGCGGCAGUACAGCCCAGGUAAUUUGCUGAACCUAAUGGGUGUCAGGGUCAGUCUAAGUGAAAGCAAAGAGAGUCUGGGAUGAGGCGUGCAGGGGAAUAGUAAAAAAAGCAUCUUUAAGAUCGAGAACGGAAUAGUGAGUUGUGGAGGAAGGUAUUGAGGACAGAAGAGUGUACGGGUUGGGCACUACAGGGUGGAUAGGCAAAACAAUUUGGUUGAUAAGGCGCAGAUCCUGAACUAAUCUGUAAGACUUGUCCGGUUUUUGGACAGGUAAAAUGGGGAAAUUGUAAGGAGAGUUUAUAGGUUUUAGAAGCCCAUGCUGUAGCAGGCGGGUGGUAACAGGCUUUAAUCCUUUUAAAGCAUGCUGUGGGAUGGGAUAUUGGUGUUGAGCCGGGUAAGAGUGAUUAGGUUUUAAUGAGAUGGUAAUGGACAUGUGAUGGUAAUGGGCAUGUCAUCGGUUGCAAGGGAAGGAGUAGAGAUGUCCCAUACUUGUGGGUUAAGGUGGGGGGAUAUGAGAGGAAGAUGCGAAGGAGGCUUUGGGUUGGGAAGAAGUGCGGCAAUGAGAUGCGGCUGUAGUCCAGGAAUAGUCAGGGAAGCAGAUGAUUUGGUUAAAAUAUUUUGGCCUAAUAAGUGAACUGGGCAGGUGGGGAUAACUAAAAAAGAGUGCAUAAAAGAGUGUUGUCCAAGUUGGCACAAGAGUGGGGGAGUUUUCAGGGGUUUAGAAGCCUGGCCGUCAAUACCCACAACAGUUAUGGGGGCAAGGGAAACAGGCCCUUGAAAAGAAGGUAAUGUGGAGUGGGUAGCCUCUGUAUUGACUAAGGGGAUGGACUUACCUUCCACUGUGAGAGUUACCCGAAACUCGGCGUCCUUGAUGGUCUACGGGGGUUCCGAGGUGAUCGAGCAGCAUCAGUCUUCAGCCGCUAAACCGAGAAGGAGUCCGUCAGAGAGCCUUGGGCCAGAGUUCCAGAGGCUCUGGGAGUAGCUUCCAGAUCUCUAGAACUUUUUCAUCGAGCAUUAUCAAAACUUGACACCCUCUGAAGAACUGCCGUUUUCCCUAAGCUCCAGGCAGCCAUUCAUCUUUGGAAAGGUCCCUGCUUCCUCUGAGUCUUCUACAGAUACAGCAAGAACCCAUUGGACGAGGUGACCCAUGGCUUUCUCCUAUAACUGGAGUAUCUUCUGGCCAGGCCCAUGGAGGAAUACUCCCUAAUAACCAAAUUCUGAGGCAUUCAUUCAUUAUCUUUAAAGCAGUGCUUCCCAAACUGUAACAUGUGACUUCACAACUCUUCAUAUCAAAAGAUGGAGUUCAUUUCCAACCUCUUUUAAUUCAGACUGGCCUUGGGACUUCUUUUGAGCAACAAAAUAUGGCAGGAAUAAUGUUGUGAUCUCUGAGCUGGAAUGGAGAUGAUUCCCAAAAAACCUUAGAAGGCAUUACUGAAGAUAGAAAAACCUCCCAGAGCCUGAUUUCUGAAUGAUUGUCCAUUUGGCAUAGUCACCAGGUGUGGAUGAAACGAGGCUUCACCCCUGAGUCUGCAACCUUAGACAAGUUUCUCCACAAUGCUACUCUGAGAUCAAGAUCUCAACUGUACAUCCUGGAGACAACACAACAACACAAGGGAAUAAAAUCUUAUACAACUGUCAGAGGUAUUGUGGAGUUCAAAUUAGAUGAUAUACAAUGACACCAAGGAAAAUACAUUGUGAAAUUUGACGAGAUUCUGAACUCAAAAAGAGAUGCUGCUCUAUUCAUUUCAAAACAACUCAUAAUAAAAGUGUUCCGCCGGGCGCGGUCGCUUAUGCCUGUAAUUCCAACACUUUGGGAGGCCGAGGCGGGCGGAUCACGAGGUCAGGAGACCGAGACCAUCCUGGCUAACGCGGUAAAACCCCGUCUCUACUAAAAAAAUACAAAAAAAUUAGUGGGGCGUGGUGGCAGGAGCCUGUAGUCCCAGCUGAGGCUGAGGCAGGAGAAUGGCGUGAACCCGGGAGGCGGAGCUUGCAGUGAGCCGAGAUCGCGCCACUGCACUCCAGCCUGGUCGACAGGGCGAGACUCCGUCUCAAAAAAAAAAAAAAAAAAAAAAAACAGUUUUCCAACUUAGCGUUUCCGGCAUUAACUAAUCACACCUCAAUCUCACUUUUAUUUUUGCUCUUCUUGUUUUUUUCAACUGGCACCUGGAGCAGGUCAGUCACAUUCCUCAUUUUUCAGGGACACCUUCGAUGCCAGAUUCUUUUUGCCUUCCGGUAAGAUUUUUUUUUUAGUAUCUUGGCCAUUUAGGGGGAGGGAGGAUAAGAAAUAAAGGGACAGUAUUAGAGCGUUAAUAAAUUGUUUUUUGUAAAUACGUUUUAGGAUGUUCACAUGUAGUGCUUCUUCAAGAUUUCUAAAAGUAUCUACGUUAUGGCUUCACUCUAUCAUUGUAAGCCUUACUAGGAUUCCUGAAUUUUGACAUAUAUUUAUUUUUUCUUCUGACUCAAGCUUUGAAUGACAAGAAUACUGUCAUGUUUUCUAUAUUUUCCACAAGAUAGAUAGAAUAAAAUACCCAUCAACUCUCUUUACACAUAGACUUUUUAAUAAAUUGUUUAAACUAUUCACAUCUCCAAUGGCUAAUUUGGGAUGAUACAGAAAUGCACAUGUUUUUAAAUAUAUAUCAAGAGCAUAUUAAACAAUUCCACAGCACAGAUGAAUAAUAUUGUUACCAGUGAAAUUCAUGCUGUAUCCUAAAACAAAUAGCCAAUAUUUGACAUAAUAAAGCAAAUAUCCUUUUACCUUUACUAUCAGUUUGGGGGCUGUUAAAUUAUUGGGGAAGUGGCAGGUAAAAUUUUCUUUUUAUCUUUUCUGAAAAUAAAAUAAUUUGGUAAUGUUCCAGGUCAGUAUACAAAGAGUUUUCUAAUUUAUGUAUAAAUUUUUAAAAUAAAGUAUAAUAGAGCAAAAAGCUCACUAGCAUUUAGAACUGUCCUGAUAACAGAAUGACAGGGCCUGGGCUUGAAUUUUGUGUAAAAAGAUUGUAGGUGCCAAAUCAUCUCCAUUUCUCAUAUCAUGAUUAAUUCUCCAGAGAAUUAUAGCAGGUACACAAAUUAGAAGAGCUCUUUGAAUCUUACUUUCAAAUUUGAAAAAGAAAAUGUGUAUUGUUUUGCAACAUAGCUUUUGAAUUAAUGUUUUUAAUUUAUAUUAUUAUUCUGACCUAAUAUUUAGGUAUUAUAUAUUUGAAAUAAAAAGAGAGGCCACCAUCAUAUUAAGCAUGACAUGAAGUACCUGGCAUAUUCUGAGUUAUGUGUACAGGUAAUUAGUUCUAACUCAAGGUAAUGUUCUCAUAAAUAGGGAACAAAUAUUACCAAAUUCAUUAAUUAGUCAUGCUUAUACUUCUGUCAUUUGGAAUAAUGUGUUUGCUUGAACUAAGGUUUCCUAUUUAUUAGAGUCAUUAAUGACUGUCAGUAAGAUACAGUGCUCUAACAUUUCACCAAUAUUUGAGAAACGCACAGGUAUUGCAUUUUUUUAACAGGGGACUAGUCUCAUUUUAUAUCUGUAUGGAAUGACAACCACAGUAUUAAAUUCCCUUGGCCUAUUUCUGCUACUUUCCUUUAUUUCAUUCAUCCUACUGUUUCCUUUAUUUCAUUCAUCCUCUACCAUUUUUAUUCUUAUAACACGUAUAUCAUUGUAUCAUAAUUACUUGUUUGCAUUUCUGCCUUCCUCCACUAAAGCACAUGAAUCAUUCUGCUUCUCAUAAGCAUCCUCAUUUAUUGUUUAAUGAAUUUAAACAUUCACUUAUACACAUAUAUUUCAAUAAAACUUUCAAAUAAACUAUUUUAACUAAAUUAAAAUAUUUUAGCUGUUAAUAUACGUAUGCAAUCAUUCUUCUGUGAAUAUAUGCAACAUACAUUACUUUGCAUUAUAUAUCUAAACACAAACACAAGGACUAUUGUAUUAGUCCUUUUUCAUGCUACUGAUAUAGACAUACCCAAGACUGGGUAAUUUAUAAAGAAAAAGAGGUUUAAAGGAAUCACAGUUCCAUGUGGCUGGGGAGGCCUCACAAUCAUGUUGGAAGGUGAAAGGCACAUCUUACAUGGCAGCAGCCAAGAGAGAAUGAAAGCCAACUGAAAAGGGAACAAGAAUAAAAAUAUAUAUCCAUGCUAAUGGGAGGUUGCUUAUAAGACAAUGUCUGACAUAUAUGAUUUAUUACAAGUUAUUGAUUCCAAUAUUUUUAAAAAUCUACCACAACACAUUAUCAACAAAAUAAAAUCACACAAAAUCCUGUUAAAUAUUUUGUUAUGAUAUUUUAUGCAACUUUUUAAAGCAUAUAUUAUUUCACCUAACUAAAAUGUAUAUGAAUAAUAUUUCUACAUUUUCAUAAUGAACUAAGGCAGCAUUUCCCAAAGAGUGUUUCAGAAAAUACGUCUUUAGAGAUGUUCUUUUUUUUUUUAUUAUACUUUAAGUUUUAGGGUACAUAAAAAUGAAUUAAUGUUAUAUAGAUUAAAAAUAAGCAUAUGAAAAUGUUCUCAACAACAUAAGUCAUCAGGGAAUUGCAAAUUAAAACAACGAGAUACCACUACGUACAUAUUAGAAUGAAUAUAAUAAAAAAAAACUAAAUUCAAAUUGCUGACAAAGAUGCAGAACAAGAAUUCUCACUCAUGCUGGUGAGAAUAUAAAAUGGCACAGCCACUUUGGAAGACCACUUGGCUAUUUCAUACAAAAACAACACUUUUCCUAUACAACGUAGCGAUCAUGCUACUAGAUAUUCAUCCAGCCAAAUUGGGAAUGUAUGACCACAUAAAAACCUAUAUGUUAAUGUUUAUAGUGACUUUAUUCAUAGUCAGCAAAAAUGGGAAACAAUCAAAAUGUCUUUCCAUAGAUGAACAGGUAAACUUGACACAUUCAUAUAAUGGAAUAUUAUUCAGCAAUUUAAAAAAUGAGCUCUCAAGCCAUGAAAAGGCAU
rnacentral:lncRNA from 10 species